AGACACGCUGGCGGCGUGCCUAACACAUGCAAGUCGAGCGAGGAGAUUCCUUGGGAUGAUCCUAGCGGCGGACGGGUGAGUAACACGUGGGCAACCUGCCUCAUAGAGAGGAAUAGCCUUCCGAAAGGGUAGAUUAAUACCUCAUAACAUUGCAGUUUCGCAUGGAACAGCAAUUAAAGGAGUAAUCCGCUAUGAGAUGGGCCCGCGGCGCAUUAGCUAGUUGGUGAGGUAACGGCUCACCAAGGCGACGAUGCGUAGCCGACCUGAGAGGGUGAUCGGCCACAUUGGGACUGAGACACGGCCCAGACUCCUACGGGAGGCAGCAGUGGGGAAUAUUGCACAAUGGGGGAAACCCUGAUGACCUAGCAACGCCGCGUGAGUGAUGACGGCCUUCGGGUUGUAAAGCUCUGUCUUCAGGGACGAUAAUGACGGUACCUGAGGAGGAAGCCACGGCUAACUACGUGCCAGCCGCGGC
rnacentral:rRNA from 1 species